ensembl:lncRNA
GGUGGGUCUAGGGGAGUGUGGGGCUUUAUGGAGCUUAAUUGUGUCUCUAGGGGGGCUAUGGGUCUCUAGAAAGCUGUGGGGGACUGUAGAAGGGGUAUUGGGGUAUAUGGGAAAAGAGGGGGAUGUGGUUGGAAUCUAGGGAUCUGUGGGCAGCUAUUGGGGGAUAUGGGGCUCUAGGGUGCUGCAGAGUCUUUAGGGAGUGUUUUAGGGCUAUAUGGGGGAUAUAGGGGGAUUUGGUUCUCUAGGGGGCUGUGGGGGUAUAGGGGUGAUAUGGGUCUGUAGGGGGCUUUGGGAGGAGCUACACGGUUCUAUGAGGGGUCUGUAAGGGCUAUAGGUGUGUUCGAGGGGGAUAUGUGGCUUUAGGGGUUUGUGGCAACAUGUGGGAGGGUUGUGG